GCAACCUCAAUUCAACUUCAUAUGGCAGUCUCCAACUAAAAGUGUUAAGACUAGCUUCUUGUAACUUGUCCCAUUUUCCUAAUUUCAUCAAAUAUUUGGAUAUGGAACAACUGGAUCUCUCAGAGAAUCGGAUUGGGGGGGAGAUACCUAGUUGGAUUUGGGGAGCACAACUUUGGUAUUUGGACCUCUCUUAUAAUCUUCUAACAGAUCUGCAAAAGCCUUACCAUAUCCCUGCUUCUCUUCGACGCAUAUACUUGCAGUCUAACCAGCUCAAGGGUGAGUUGCAUCUGACCAUUCCACCUGCGUCUCAACUCUCGUACUUGUCUCUUGCUAAUAACAGUUUAAGUGGAUCCAUUCCAACCUCCCUUUGCAGUGCCACGAGCCUCCAAUCUCUUGAUUUGUCUGGCAAUAGAUUAAGUGGCAGCAUACCCCCUUGCUUACUUGAAAACAUUUCAAACUUAGAUCUAAGCCAAAACAACAUCAGCGGUAGCAUUCCAGAUAAUUUUCCUAUGCUUUGUAGGCUACAAUAUUUGGAUCUUAACAAUAAUACUUUAGAAGGGAAAAUCCCAAAGUCCCUUGAAAGAUGCGAGCAGUUGAACUUCAUGAAUGUUGGUUGAGCGUUCUUGUUUUGCACUCGAACAGGUUCCAUGGGGAAGUAAGGUGUCAAAACAUGAGCUGGCCAUAUCUCCAAAUUGUAGAUAUAUCUUCCAAUCAUUUCAGAGGAAAUCUGGAAUCAAUAAACUUUUCUAGUUGGAAGACAAUGAUGCUACAGAGUCAUGGACAAUUGAGGCACGCCAAUUUAGUUGUCUAUUACUCAGAAUUGUGGAGUUCAUUAAGCAUCACAUUAAUCAUGAAAGGGACAAAUUCAGAGUAUCACAGGAUUUGGCCAGAGUUUGGUAUCAUUGAUUUCUCUUGCAAUAAUUUCGGCGGAGAGAUACCAAAUGCAAUUGGUGAUCUUACCUCACUUCAUCAGCUCAACCUCUCCCACAAUGCCCUCAAUGGAAGCAUCCCAAACUCAUUUGGUCAGUUGAGGAAUCUCGAAUCACUCGACCUCUCUGUAAAUCGACUCAUCGGGCCAAUACCAGUGGAGCUUGCAGGGCUCACAUUCCUUUCAUUCUUGAAUCUGUCCUACAAUAAGCUGGUUGGAGAGAUCCCAAAUGGGCGUCAGUUACAAACAUUUUCAGCUGAUUCCUUCAAAGGAAAUGCGGGGUUGUGUGGUUUCAAUCUCAACAUAAGCUGCAGUACUGAUAGUGAUGACAGUGAUCAUUUGUGGCCAGAAGAAGAUGAAAACGGGGAAGAGAAGAGUGAGAUCGAGUGGGAGUAUGUAUCUUCUGCGCUUGGUUAUGUUGUUGGAUUAGGAAGCAUUGCAUGGACGCUUUUUUUCCGCAGAAGCUUCAGAGAAAGAUAUUUCGAGAAAAUAGAAGAGAUUGUUGACAAGAUUUUCUACGAGAGAGCCAGGAGAAGAAGACAUGAAAGAAGAAGAAAAAGAGUAGAGAUGAGAAAAGAGAUUAGGAGACAGCAGAGAAGUUGAUGAUAUAAACAAGGGUGCUUAGUGUUUGAUGUAAGUUUGAAGCUUUUGUUUUUUUUUUUUUUGCAUGUAACUUUCUUUAAUUUAAGCUGUAAAAGAGAUUCUGUGUGUUGGUAAUUAACUAUGUCAUUUUAUUUUACGAGAAUUAGCACAUAUCAGAUUUGUCUUGUUUAAGAUAUUCUAGGAUUUCUCAUUUGUUAUUUUAUUGUUACUAGGCAUAGAAAGCCUGCAUUGCACGCGAUUUAAUUAAUUUACAUAAAUUAAUUAAUGUAAUUGAAUAAUUAUCAUACUAUGAGAAGUCAUACAAAUUUUGCAUUCGAAAUGUAUCACUUUAUAAUUGUAGAGUAAUAUUAAUGUUAAAAAAUUUAAGAUUUACCAAUAAUUAAAAAAUAAUACUCCCUCCGUCCACUAAUUGUUGGCCUAGGAGGCAAAACACGGAUUUUAAGAAAAAGUGUAGUGAGUGGAGAAAGGGACCCACAAAAUAUAUUGUUUAUUAGUUGAGUGGAGAAAGGGAGCCACAAAGUGUAUUGUUUAUUAGUUGAGUUGAUAAAAGUGUAUUGUUUAUUGGGACCCACCAAUUAAAAAUUAUAAAGACUUACUAUAAAUGGGUAGGAAAUUUUUUGGUGGACGGACCAAAAAGGAAAGUAGGCCAACAAUUAGUGGACGGAGGGAGUAAUAAUAAAAGCGUAAUCUUGCACUCAACUAAUAUUUCUCAAGAUAUCUAAACAAAUAAUUCUUUUACGUUCAAAAAGUGUUAAUUUGCGUGUUCAUACACUUGUGAAAUCAAGUGUAUGGAAAAUCAUAAUUUAUUUUUAGAAGAGUUAUAUUCCAUACUCGUGUCCAUAAUUUAUCUCCUCUUUUCUUCGACGAAGCUUCUCUAGCGUUUGGUUUAAUGGAUGAGAUAGAUAUGAUUGAUAAGAUUGAUAGGAUUUGAGAAGUGGUUAAAUAAUGCACCCAACUUUUGAGUGAUAAAUAAUCACUCAAUUGCAUGAUUAGAUGCGGGCCGUAUUAUCAAUCGCGAAUUCAAUCAUAAUCAAACACUUGAUUAAGGUGAAUUAUUUUAUCAGUAAUGUCUUAUCACUCAAACCAAACACCUAGCAUCUCUAUGUUAAAGGAAAACCAUAAAUUUAUUUUCUUGAUUUCUCUAUUUUUGAAUCCUACACUUGUAUAUUUUGUUAUUAGUUUCUCCAUAAAUUUAAUAUUCAAACGCGUAUGCUAAAAUUAAUAAUUAUACUAAAUCUCUAAUUAAUUUCGUUUGUUAAAUAAUUUUUUGUUUUGCUUUUUUUUUUACGUGUAAUUUUCAAAAUUACUAGAAUUAUAAAGUUGAUAGUGAUCUAUAGUUUCUAUCCCAACAUAGUUGAUAGUCAUUACAUUUUCCCAACUAAAGAAGUUAAGCCUAUCUUCCUGCAACCUAAAAAGAUUUCCUGAUUUUUUAAAACAAUCCAACUUGAUUUCUAUCACUCUUUUAGUUGGACAAAGUUUACAUCAGUUGAUUUCUCACGCAAUAAAUUGACAGUCGAAAUUAAGUCACAUAUAUUAAUUUUUGCCUUCUUAAACCAUUCGAGCUUCUAAAUACCCAUCAUCAUCAGAAGUUAUUAGACCAACAUCAAGUGAACUUUCGACUGUCAAUUAAGCUCUAAUUUUUUUGAAAAUCAAACUCAGGUGAAAAUUGCAAUAAAAAUAUAAAUUCGUAGAAGAUUUGGAGAGGUCAAGUCUUUUGAGGUUUGGGAAUAUAGAAUAGAUGGAGAAUGGUCUAAAUUGAUAAUGUUGACAAACCAUUGAAUUAACUUGAAUGGUUCAUUGAUGUAUGUUUCACGAGAAACUUCUCCGGGCUGCCGUCAACUACUAGUCUAUGACUGGGUUGGGCGAACAUUGAAAGAACUAGAUAUUUAUGAUUGUGAAGAUGUGUUGGGGAUUUCUACUAUUACUACUUCAUUCCCAACUCCCAACUUGCGGAAACCGAUGCCAAUUAAGCCCACGUUUGGUUGAGUGUUUUUAGAGGUUGAAAAGGGAAUCGAGUAAUUGAAUUCAUUACUUAUUGUUUGGUUUGGGUAAUGAAAUAAUCAUUACCCUUACUUGAGGGUAACCUAAUUAAUCACCCAAUUUGUUACCCCUCAAAAUAGAGGGGAAACAAAAGAAAAGGAAUCCCUUACUAAUGAUUCAUUUCCAUUGUUAAACCAAACACUCAAUAAAAGUAAUGAUUAUUGUUAUCAUUCCACUCCUUUAUUUGAUUCCAUUCCCUUUCCAUUCCUCUACUUGAACCAAGCGAGCACUAAGUAUGUAUGAAUCCUCUAGUCUUUUGCAGCAGAAUUAGAACACCACCAAAUGUGAUUGUUGCUGAAGGUGAUGAACAAGGGGCUCAGGCUGCAAAUGGUUCAAAAUAAUUGUAUGGCAUUCCUUUUCAAUUAUCCUUCUUAGCCUAUAAUUAAGUUUGUUGUUGUAAUUGGAAACUGUUGUGAACAGCGUCGAGAAAAUGGAUGAGAAGAAGGGGAGUAUGGAGAAAUUGGGGAUUUCUGUGGAGAACAAUAAAGAUGGAAUUUUUAUGUCUCUUUCGCUUGUUGACGAAGGCUGGGGAAUUUGACAAAAAGACAAAACGAAGAUAAUAAUAAUACUAAUUUAAGUAAAAUAUAGCGGAAAAAUAUAAUUAAUCUAGGUAGCCUAAAAAAUUCUUGAAAUUCAAACUACUCAAAAUCACCAAUUUUCCGAAAUAUCAACUACACAAUCUUACCAUUAUCACUAAAUCAAAUCAAUCGUCAUUUAGUUUCCAUAAUCCUCCCUCCUCGAACUCUAACUAUAUAUACCACAAAAUACAAUUCCCAUUAUCAUCACAUUUCAAAUCCCAAAAACAGAAAUUGAAAUAAAUAAAAACUUCCACUAAUUAAUCAAGGCAACCAAAACCCUCACAUCACUCCUCCUCGCUCUCUCACUACUCCAACUCUCCAAGGCAUCCUCGCCGUCCGAUUCACGGUCACCAACAACGCCUCCGCUACCCCCGGCGGGCGCGCGGCGCUUCGACCGGGAGAUCGGCACUGCCUACACACUCACCGCAAUGCCGCAAAUCGCCGGCUUCAUAUGGAAGAUAUUCCGGCAACCCUCCGACGCCGACAGACGUCACUACUUCCCCGACGACGUCGUAAACCUGUACGUCCAAGACCUCCACGACGGCGCCCUGGGCGAAACCGGCGAAAACAACAUCUACAUGAGCGCGGAAGGCAUCGAAAGCUACCCUCCCGGCGGCGGAGCUAGGUCUGUUCACCUCGAUUCUGUACCAUGAAAUGACGCACAUUUUUCAGUGGUCGGGGAAGGGCAAGGCGCCCGGGGAUUUGACGGAGGGGAUGGCCGACUACGUGGUGCUGAAGUCGCCAUUCUACAACGCCGGGUAGGGGAGGGGAGCCGGUGGGACGAAGGCUACGGAGUGACGUCGAGGUUUUUGGAGUACUGCGACGGGCUGAGGGAAGGGUUCACGGCGGAGCUGAAUAAGAUGAUGAGGGAAGUUUACAAAGAGGAGUAUUGGAAGGAGUUGUUAGGGAAAGAUGUUGAUCAGCUUUGGAGGGAGUAUAAGGCUAAGUAUACUAAUCUAUCUAUACAUCUAUCUAUACAUAUAUAAAAGCUGGUUCAUCUAGCAAAAAAAAAUUCCCGCUCUUUUACUCAAUCUAUUUUUGGAAAGUUGAUUUAUAUUUAGAAAGUUCACUAAUUCAUAGGAUGAUAUAUAUAAGUUGCGGGGCCCACUUGCUACAAUCUAUACAGUGCUCUUUUAUAUCAUGCAAUUUAUAGUUUUGUGAAAAAUAUCCUUUAUUUUUGUGAAUUUAUAUUUUUUUUAGAUAAAUUUAUAUAAAUAUACAAUAUUUAAAAUUUAAAGUGCCAAACUUAUUUUAGCCUUAUCCCUAACAUCCCUGACCCACAAAAGGUGAUGCUAGCAGCUAUGCACUUUGAUGGGAAGGCCUCACAGUGGCACCAAAAUUUAGGGGUGAAACAGAUUGAAUUGAGCUGGAACCAAUUCAUUGAACUGGUCUCUGCCAGGUUUGAGGAGUUGAAGGAAACCAAAAUAGUGGCUGAGUUCAACAAGUUGAGGAUGACUGGGAACUAUACUGACUAUGUUGAGAGGUUUGAAGAACUAAGGGCUUGUCUAUUGAUGUUUAAUAGAGGAGAAUUCUCAGAGGACUACUUCAUAGCAAGCUUUAUUAGUGGGCUGGGUGAUGAACUACAAUCUUUCAUAAGGAUGUUCAAUCCAGCUACUUUAAAUCAGGCUGUGGAAUUGGGAAAGAAUCAGUUGCAGACACUAGAGGUUAUCACUAAGAAGCUUAAGGGCACAUACAGAAAUUCAACCCCAGUUAACCAAUUUUCAAAGAGGCCAGAGAACAACAACUUGAAAUCUGGAAAUUUUACUCCAAAGUCGCCAUUCAAGUUACUCACUGCUGAAGAAAUGGAGGCUAGAAGAAGCAAAAAACUCUAGCUACAAUUGCGAUGAAACCUAUGUCCCAGGGCAUAGAUGCAAACAGAGAAUUUCCUACUUAAUCAUGACUGAAGAGGAGGAAGCUAAUUUGUCCCAUAUCACUCUUGAAGAGACUGAGGAAGAUAAGAAUGAAACAUUGGUGAUGGAGGAAAUUAUUUUAGCCAUCAGUGCUUUAUCUGGGAAUGAUGGACCUACAACCAUGAGAGUUUUGGGAGAAAUUAACGGUCAGACGAUUAACAUCCUCAUUGAUUCAGGUAGCACAUUAAGCUUCAUUAAUGAGGCUACUGUGAAGUCCCUAAAUUGCAACCAAGAACCUGUCAAUUCAAUAAAAUAAUAAUAAUAAUAAUAAUUUACUUACUUUGUCUAUCUCUUUUCAUUUACUUUAUCUUUAUCUUAUUUUUUUCACUACUCUAUCUAUCUCUCUCCUUAUCUAUCUUACGGACGGAGUAAUAAUAAAACGAAUAAAAUUAUGACAUAACAACUAAAUUCAUACAUUUUCACUACUCAGUCUAUCUCUCUCCUUAUUUAUCUUUCGGAGGGAGUAAUAAUAAAGCGAAUGACAUUAUUACAUAACAACCAAAUUCAUAAGUAAUGUCGUCGUUCCCCUUCAUGGCCUUCAAAUAAGUGCCGCCGCAAACCAUCACCUCCACCGCAGGUGAUCCCAUCCUCCUUGCUGGAUUCGGCUUCACCGGCAGCAUUGCGAGAAUCCGGUCGCCCGGAAAUUAAAAUUUGGGUAUAAUUAUUGUAUUUAUGGUGGAAAUUAAAAUAUUGUUGAUAACAUUAGCCAAAUCUAUAGUGGAAAUUAAAAUAUUGUGUGGGCCUAAGGAUGUGAAAGCCCAUUACCGUGAUAAGUGGGCUUCAGUGGUUGCAUAUGCUGGUCCAAAUUUGUGAUGAUUAAUGCACCCCCAGCCCCACAACACCAACACCAACCCCAAAUUCCACAAUUGUGAAUUUGUGAUAUUCAUAUUUUUAUAUUAAUGCAUCAACAAUAUUUAUAUCAUCAAAUCAAGAGAAAAAUAACCUUUGUUUAUAUUGAUGUCAGGUCGUCUUUAAACUUAAAAAAUAAACAUAUAUGGGAUUUAAAAUAAAUUAUAUGGGAUAUUCGUGGAUAAGAUCAAAAGGAUUAUGAUAUGAUUUAAAUUUGAAUGCCGUCAUGAUUAUGGAACACAAAAAUUUGGGUAGAAUCAGGUGUACUGUACAACCAAGUUGAGCCAUAUCUAUAAUAGUGUUAUUUAUGCUAUUCGAGUUAAGAUAUGGAUUCGAAUCAGGAUGCAAGUCAUGGUCUUAGUAAGGAUGCAACUCGAUUGUGUACCCACUUCAAACAUCCUUAAUUAAUUCCUUGUACUUUAAUCAUACUACACCUUUGUUACCAUCGUAUAAUUGCAAUUAACGGAGACUUGUAAAUCAAGCAGAAGUGCAUACAAUUAUAUAACUACUUUUCACAAUUGAAUUUCUAUUGUUGCUAUAAUAAAAGCAGAGUCAAGGGAUUUUUUAGGACAAUAACUUAGAUUGAUUUGGAAAUUAGGACAAUAACUUUCGGACUUGUAAACAUCCCCAUUUCACUUCCUUUAUUUUGAGGACGAUCAGCCUUCUUACAUGAAUCCCAACCCUUCACUUCCUCUGAUUCCUUCCAAGAAUCACUCUUCAAGCUAUAUAUCCAAUAUAUAGAUUCGCCGCUAGCUCUAGCCGCAAUCACAAAAACCUUGUAAUCGUCGCUCGAUUCAUCCCAACCGAACCCACAACAGUAGAAAUAAAAGCAUGACAUCGUCUUUGAGUGAGGCAGUUUCUUGGAGAUUCUGAGAGAUGGAUUCCACAACACAAACUGUGUUUGUUCAUUCAGUGAAAGGCAAACAAGCCCAUUGCAGCAACCAACAAUGCUAUUAAAACCGAUUGGGAAUUCCAAUUCUAAAGCAUCGUGAGUAUAUGAGAUAUCGAGUAUACCUUAAGUUUAGUAUUUUUCCAAUACAAUAUAACCGGUUCGGUAUCUAUCAUACUUUUUUCAUACCUAUCAUAUCUUACCAAAAAUUUUGGUAUACCUUAAGUUUAGUAAUUUUCCAGUACAAUAUAACCGGUUCGGUAUCUAUCAUACUUUAACCAAAAAGUUUGGUGUACCUUAGUUUAGUUUCAAUAUUUUUCCAGUAUGGUAUAACCGGUUCGAUAUUUUUCUAGCACGAUAUAGCCGGUAUAUUCUUUUACUUCUAGCAUCAUACGGCCUCUUCAAAAAUGCACCAAAAAUCUCUUUUUAUUGUAAUUCCUUUUACUCGACUCCGUCGAACUUUUCAAUUUUUGCAUCAAAUUAAACCUAAUUAUGUAUACUAAAUUCCAUUAAUUAAAACACAAAUAAUUUAAGAAUAUAAAUAAUUAAAAUACACACAUAUCAAAUAUCUUUACACUUGAAUCAUGCUACACCUUUGUAAAUCAAGCAAAAGUGCAUAUAAAUAUAAUUACUAUUUUUCACAAUCGAAUUUCUAUUGUUGCUAUUAUAAAAGCCAUGUAUACUAUGGCUGCACUGGGCUCCAGCCCAGUGCAAAGCCCAAAUUUUUUCUAUAUAUAUAUAAUAUAUAUAAUACCAAGCCCACCUCAUAGAUUACCCAUAGCCCAGCCCAACUAUCUAAAGAAAACAUAAAAACAUUCUAACCUAUGUCAAAGACUCAAAGAGUGACGCACACAGUAGAAAAAUUCAAAAAAUAGCGUCUCUCUCUCCUGAGCAAUUGCAAAGCAAUAAUUUCUCCUAUUGUGGCUGUGGAGAAUUGAACUUCCAAUUUAUUUACUUAUUCUCGUCUCAUAUUAUUCAAGGUAUGUAAAUUCAAGAACCCUAAAUUAGAAUUAAUAUUAAAAUUAAGUUUAUUUUUGUUGAAUUUUACUGAUGAAAUUGAAACUUGAAAUAGAGGUAGAAUAAUUUCUUAUCUUUUAUUUGAAACUCACCUGUAAAUUGCAAUUAAUAUUUUAAAUAUAUAUAAAUAAAUGUCAAAUAUAUGUAUCACCUACCCACCUUUCUUAUACAAACAAUCAAAUAUCAAAUAUAUGUAUAUAUAUACGUGCAUCAUCAAUUCGCAAAGAUUCGCAUACCUUUCUUAUACUAUAGAAUUAAAGCAUACUAACGCUUCAAAAGCCAACCUAAUUCGGAACUCUAGAGAGAGGAGAAUAGAGAGGGAAUUGCGAAUGCCAAUUCAAUCAAUUGCAAUAUAUGAUUCUCCUACCAUAAGUUAUAUAUAAAUAAAUAAAAAUUAAUAGAUCUAACCAAAUAUAAUAUUGAGCUAGUCUCUUGUGCGAGUUCACAGGUUGAAAUUUAUAACCUUUUUUUUUUUACCCUUACUUGUUCCGCACGUUGAUUAAAGUUAUUUUUAAUAUAUUAUAGAUAUCUUAAUCCCUCGUAAUCCUUUUUAUAUUAAGGCGUGAUGAUCCGCAAGUUUUGCACUAAUUAGAUUUUAAUUAGAAUCAUAUUAACAACUGAUCCUCAUCUCACUCUCUCUUCUCUCCCUCACCUCUCUAGAGUUGGCGGAUUCGCCUGAUUGGGUUGCCUUGAAGCGUUAUUAAGCUUUGAUUCUAUAGUAUAUAAGAAAGGUAUGUGAAUUUUUACAAACUACUUAUAUAUUUGAUAUUUGAUUUUAUCUAGGAGAAAGUAUUUUCGAGUUGGUCGAUGAUGUAUAAUUCUGUUGCUAAUUUGUUUUUGUAGAUGAAUGAGCUUGUUUUGAAAUGUUUCGAUGGUGGUGGCGAUAAUAAGUAUUAUUUAUCUAUUACGUCUCCUCAAGACAUGUCUCCCAAGGAAGGCUUUGAAAUUACCAAUCUUUUCUUUUAUGAUAAUGAAAAUUAUGUUAGUGGUAAUAUUUGUCGGAUGCUGUUGUAUUUCUAUUAUGAGGGCCAAACUGUUCUUUGCAACCUAGCAACUAAAGAGCUGAAAUUUAUUGCUCCGCCGAAGAAACCCAUUCAAUAUGAUAUCCUUUUCCAGGGUUGUGGUCUCGGAUACGAUGCUAAAUCCGGCGACUACAAGUUGAUACAGAAGUAUCACCUAUGGUCUUGGUGCAAUGUUCAACAUCGUUGUGAUUAUGAUGAUUAUGACGAGACGAAAACUGAGUUGUAUUCGCUUAAAAGUUGUUCUUGGAAGGAGAUUCCGAGUCCUGAUGCUCGUAUUGGCGCCCAUUGUGGUGUGUACGUUGAGGGGAGUUGCUAUUGGCCAGCAAGUCUUGGUCCGGCCUUUGGUGGUCCAUCGGGUGAACUGGCAUUAGAUGUUCUAUCAUUCGACUUCACCAGUGAAUGUUUCUCUUGCAUCCCUUCGCCGACUCGAGAUGAUGGGUUUGCAUAUGAUCUUGUCGAGUGUCGUGGGUUUUUGGGUGCUAUUGCCUAUGAAUAUACCGAUGAACAAUCAAAGUGUGGAGCCAAGUCUUUUGAGCUUUUGGUAUGGAAAGAAAGGUCGUGGGCCAAAUCAUUUGUUGUUGCUCUUUACGGCAUUGAAAACCCGUUGGGAUUGAAGGAAGGUCGUUUUUUGUUUCUUAAAAGGAAAAUAUUCGGUAGUGAUAAGCCCUAUCAGUUAGUAGUUUAUGAUUGUAUCACGAAGGAGUUGAAGAAAUUUGAUACUGAUGCUCGUGCACAAAAUGUGAGUGUUGUCUCUUAUGUUGAUGAUAGAGUUGAGCUAGUUUAUGACUGGAUUUCGAUGAAGGUGUUUUCUUAUGCUGAGAAUUGUGCUCUGCUGCCGAAUGAUGCAAAAAUGUAAGUGGUUUAUGUUUCACCAAAUAUGAGUUUAUAUUAUCAUUAAUUUGUCCAAUAACUUGACUAACUAAUGUUUUAUCUAAACAAUGAACCACAGCUCACAAAAUGCUGAAGAAUUCGUCCUCGAAGGUUUUCAGAAGAUCGACAUCCAGCCAUGAAAGCUCGAAAGAAAACCCACAUUUACUGUGAUAAGGCUUUGGCUUUUUACCUAUAUCUUGUGUUAUGUUUCGUGUCGUUAUGCUUGGAAAUGAUACAUUGCAAGAAUUUCAAAGUUGAUUCCGAUUUGUUGAGGAAGUUUUCUCAUGAAUAAUAACUUAGGAUUUCUCCAAUCUCACCAUUUCAAACGUGAUAAAAAAACACGCAAAACUAGCUCAAAUGACGUGAUAAAAAACACGCAAAACUAGCUCAAAUGAUAGAAAUAAUAAGAGCCUAAAAUAUAUAAGGGAUUAGCAUUACUAAUUUUAUCUAGGGCAAAGUAUCAAAUAAGCCCCUGACAUAGUAGUCCUUAUCACGUUAGCGAGUAUCGAUCACUAUGAGUCUCGUUGCAUCAUUAUUAUUAUUAUUAUUAUAACUCUAAAAUAAUAUUUUCAAUUUAUUUAUUAAUAGUAUAUUUUUUUUAAUGUAGUUGUCCAUUAGAUUAGGCUUGUGGGCCAUUAUUAUUAUACCAAAACCUAGUUAACCUAAAACCGGAAUUUACCACGAUCCAAACAAAACUAAGGGGGGUGUAUUCGUUGUGGAUUUCCACAGACUUUAAAAAGUCCAUGGAAUUCACAUAGAUUCCAGACGACUUUCAAAGAAUUCGUGGUUGGAUUUCACCCCGAUUUUCACUGAUUUUCGAAGAAUUUAGGGGAUAAUUCUGGAAUUGAAAUCCAUGAUGCCAACGCCCGCUGAGUCAUAUGCUGGAAUCCAGCAUAUGCUGGAAUCCAACAUAUGCUGGAAUCCAACAUAUGCUGGACUCUCUCAACGGUGGCUGAGUUCCAGCGCUCGCUUAAAAUUUCAUGGAUUUCAAUUCUCGUGGUUCUUGGCCGGAUUUCGUCGUGUGUAUUUUUUGGAUGAAAUCCAUGAAAGUCAUUCCAGAUUUUAAGUCAAUGGAAUAACGAAUACACCUAGAUUUGUAUGGAUUUUAAAAAGUCUGAAACGAAUACACCCAGAUUUAUAUGGACUUUUAAAAGUCUUAAACGAAUACACCCAGAUUUCUGCAGACUUUUAAAAGUCUGGAACGAAUACACCUAGACUUUUAAAAUCCAUAGAAAUCUAUUAAAAUUCACAACGAAUACACCCCCCUAAAUUUCAUUAUUUACACACGCCAAAGAUUCCAUGGAUUCUGAAGGCGAGGGUUUCUACAGCAGCAGUAGUGAUACGGCGGCGGAUGACAGCUUCGCUGAUUACGCCGCCGUCAGCCGCCUCCAGAAACCCUACAAAAUCCUAAAAGAGGGCGACAUCCAGCAACUCCUCGACGACGAUAUCUCCACAGUUUCCGACGUUCUCUCCGUCUCGAGAGGCGCCGCCUGCACCCUUCUCUGCCAGAAUAAUUGGAAUCUCAGCUCCGUCUACGACAAAUUUUUCGCCGCCGACGACAGAAAUCACCAAACCGCCGCGUCGUCGUCGCAGCGAGAAUUAGGGCAAAAUCUGUGCAAGAUAUGUUACGACGAAAUCAGCCCCCAAAACACGGUCUCUGCCGCCUGCGGCCAUCCCUUCUGCGCCGAUUGCUGGAAAACGUAUGUCUCGGCGGCGAUCGACGACGGCGCCGGAUGCCUGACGCUGCGGUGUCCGGAGCCUGGCUGCGGCGUCGCCGCAGGCGUAGAUCUGAUAGAAUCGCUUGCCUCCACCGACGGCAAGGAGAAGUACCAUAGAUAUCUCCGCCAAUCCUACGUGGAGGCCAGCCGCCGGAGAAAGUGGUGCCCCGCCCCGGGAUGCAAUUUCGCCGUCGAAUUCGACGGAGGCGGAGGCGGCGGAGGCUACGACGUGACGUGCGGCUGCUCUCACAAAUUCUGCUGGAACUGCGGGGAAGAGCACCACCGCCCCGUCGGCUGCGAGACGGUGGCGAGCUGGUCGGAGAAGAACAAUUCGGAGGUGGAGAACACGCAGUGGAUCCUCGCCUACACCAAACCCUGCCCCAAAUGCCGCCGCUCCAUCGAGAAAAACCAAGGCUGCAAUUGGAUGACGUGUCGCCCCCCCUGCGGAUUCCGAUUCUGCUGUCUCUGCGGCCAGGACUCGAGGUUCCACACCCGCUGCAACAAAUACGGCGGCGCCGCCGCCGGCUAUGAAAAGAAUGCUAAGAGAGAGAAGGCGAGGAAGGAUCUGCAGAGAUACACGCAUUACUACGAGCGGUGGCACGCCAACGAGCAGUCGAGGAAGGCGGCCGUGAAGGAUCUGAAGACGUGGAGAGACGACGACGGCGUCUCUAAGCUCGGCGAGGCGCAAGCGGAGGCGCCGGCGCAGCUGCAGUUCGUGACAAAGGCGUGGGAGCAGAUUGCGGAGUGCCGGCGCGUGCUGAAAUGGAGCUACGCCUAUGGUUACUACAUGGAGAGGGAGGCGCCGAAGAAGGUGGCGUUGUUCGAGCAUUCGCAGGGGGAGGCGGAGAAGCAGCUGGAGCGGCUGCACCACUGCGUGGAGAAGGAGAUGGGGGAGUACCUCCGGCAACAGAGGGAGGAUUUCCAGGAAUUUAGGGUUAGGGUUGUUGAUCUGACUGUGGUGACCGGGAAUUAUUUUGAGAAUUUGGCGAGGGAUUUGGAGAAUAAUCGAGCGGAAGUUGUGGGUGGCGGCGGCGGCCGGAAUGGUUUGAAGAAGAAGAAGAAGAAGGAUGACGAUGAGAGGAAGGGUUUGGAGAAGAAGAGAAGGAAGAAGAAGGAUGAUGAUGAGAGGAAUGUUCCUAGGAAAAGAGUAACUUAUGCUUCUAGGUAUUCUCGUAAUUAAGUAUUGAUGAUGAACGUGCACGUUUGUUUUGGAUGAUUAUUAUUGUGAGGAGUGUAUAGUUUUUUUUUUUUUGGUUUUAGGAUUAUUGAGAUUGUUUCAAUAGUAAGCUUAUGAUUAGAAAAUCAUAGACUAUUCAUUAAUUUAUGCAUGUUGAAUUAUGAAAUUUUUGGUAGUACAAUAUUCUUGUUAUUGGUUUUGGUGAAAUAUGGAAAACAUUGAAGAUCUAUGAAGAUGUAGUUGAGCAAUGAAUAUUGCCUAUGUAUUCAAGAGCUUUAUUUUGUACUCCCUCUGUCCCAAUAAUAUAGUGGCAGAUCUAUAAGGGGCGAUUGGGGUACAACUGUACCCGAAAAAAAGAAAAAAAUUUACUAGUAGUGUUAAGCCCUAUCAGUUAGUNACAAAAUGCUGAAGAAUUCGUCCUCGAAGGUUUUCAGAAGAUCGACAUCCAGCCAUGAAAGCUCGAAAGAAACCCACAUUUACUGUGAUAAGGCUUUGGCUUUUUACCUAUAUCUUGUGUUAUGUUUCGUGUCGUUAUGCUUGGAAAUGAUACAUUGCAAGAAUUUCAAAGUUGAUUCCGAUUUGUUGAGGAAGAUUUCUCAUGAAUAAUACACAAAUUUUGAUGAAAAGAAUUUGGUUGAGGAAUUUGGUCGAACACCUUGUUAGCAUAGAAUAAAACUCUAAUACUCUCAAGCUGGCAAGAAUAAAACUUGCUGAUAUAAAAAGAUAAACAAAAGUUUAGCCAUUUUCCAAUACAUAUAUAAAUACAAUCUAUUUAUUCUCAUUGAAUCGCUACUUCAACAUACUCAAAAAACAAUCAAAACCAAGUAGUAUAUUAUAUUUUUUUCCAAUUGAAUUUCUAUUGUUGCUAUUAUAAAAGCAUGCAUUAAUUCUUAUAAAUUUUGACACCUUACCUUAUGUGACUUUUCUUAUUGAAUAAAUAGUAAUUUUAAAAGUAAUUAAAAUUCGAAACAUGUAGGUGUAGCCUCAACGCAACCAUUAAUAAUAUUGAAAAAUAAGGCAGUUUAGAGUUUAAUGUGAAUGUGAUGGUUUUGCUUCUUUUUUUUUUUUGGUGUAAUUUUCAAAAUGACUAGAAUUAUAAAGUUGAUAGUGAUCUAUAGUUUCUAUCCCAACAGCUCUCUAUCUCUCUUGCAACAACUUGUCACUUGACGGUCAAUUAAGCUCUAAUUUUAUCGCAGUCAAACUCAUGUAAAAAUUACAACAAAAAUAUAAAUUUAUGUAUUUUUUGGUUUACUUAAAAGUUCAUGUGAAAAUUAUAACUUUUUUCCAAAGUUCAUGUAUUUUUUGGUCAUAACCUCUGGUUCUAUUCAAGUUUAAAUGAUCAUUCUAAAUUUAGAUUUAAAUUCAAAUACUAAUCAUUUGGGAAAAAAAAUACAUAUUCUAGAAAGUAUGAUUAUUUAUUUUGAUAAUACAUAUAAUCGCCUGGGUCAGGUUUCGUAAAUAUUUAGGCCCAGCUUGGCUCAGGAUAACAUGUAUAGUGGGCCUUGGCUGGGCCCAUGCUAGUAGAUUGCAAUGGGCAUUUCCGUGGGUUCAACUAGGCUGAGUUUGGUGGGCUUCUUGUUGAUUUUGUAUAGAUUUUUACUUGGUGGGCUUGGAUCUUGUGAGCUAAUGAAUACCGUUGAAUUAGUCUUUCAACAAGUCUACUAGCAUGGCCCACUUUGCAAUUUUUUUGUUUCCACACUUCCUUUUCUUCUCUACACAUGAAUACAUAGAUUAAUUUAUCGCAGGCUAAGUGUAUUAUUUUACUAAUAUUUUGAAAUUAGGAUAAAUCUGUAUUUUGUAAAUUCCACCAGUAGGCCUACAUGAUUGGGAUUGGAAGAAAAUGAUAUAACUGAUAUGUGUCUUUAACGUGGGCCACACAUCGUUGACUUGAGACUCUUCUAAGUCCUAACUAUGAAUUAUUUGGAAAAAGCAUAUAAUCUUGACGGCUCGACCAAUCAAUCCUUGGGCUUAAAUUCUAGCAUUAGAAUUUUGAAUUGGUCUCCACCUUAAGCGUGUUAAUGGGGUUAGUUGCUAAUAAGACAAAACCCGCUUUCACUAUUUGUAAUUUCCACAUACACGUAUACACGAUAGCGAUUUUUCCUUUUCUUUUCCUUUUAUUUUUGCUAUUCAGAUAUUGAUUAGUGAAAUUUUCUGGUUGAUAAGAAUUUUCCGAAACCAUUUUAUACUCAAUCCUAAAUUUAUUAUCUUUGGCUUUUUAAUGCCAGCCACUCAAUGCAAAACAACUAUAUGUUUUGCAAAAAAUCUUUCCAUUAAUUUCUCUCUCAUCAAAGGAUCAACAAAUGGCUACUUAUAAACUACAUGCAUGCAUGGUUUGUGGCAAGCUGCUUUUUAUUAGAGAUGAACUUUUUAGUUAAGUACAAAAUGAGACACCAAUUAUGAACUAAAUUAUUAAAAUAACUGGAUACAAAUAUUAAUAUUAUACACUAAUUGCUUUAGUCAUCCAAGUCAACCAUUUAGCCCAUGUUUGGUUGGGUGUUUUUAGAAUCUGGAAAGGGAUUCAAUUGAAUCCAUUACUUGUUGUGUGAUUUGAGUAAUGAGUUAAUCAUCACCCUUAAUUAAAGGUAACCCAAUCACCCAAUUUGUUGCCCCUCAAAAUAGGGGGGAAACAAAAGAAAUGGUGCAUCUUCAUCUUUCUGCCCCGACUUUGAUUGUUCAACCAAACAAGAUCACACUAAAACGUCCCACAUGAUUUGAGCAUUUACAUUGAUUGAAUUAAUGCUCGACUCAUCCAUGCUCCGAGACCAUUUAUGAGUCAAGUACUGCAUUGGCACGACUCCUCCUGCUGACUCAAAUAAAUAACACAAUUUUUUGAAAGAAAAAAACAUUAAAAUUAAUGGCUCAAAGACCGUUGCAAAGCUUUUCAAAAUUUGAUUUGAUUUAUUAUUAUUUUUUUAAAUAUAGCGCGUGUACAACACACGUCUUUGAUUUUAACUUAAAGAGCUUGACUCCAUGGAACGAGUCGGCACUCGAGUCAACAACGCCUGCAUCGGCUGACUCAUGGCAUCAGCAGAUUCAAGUCAGGCUAUCAAGUCAACCGAUGUGGGUGCUCUUAGAUGGCACUCGGGCAAGAGGGUUGACCCGAGGCUUCUCGGCAUGCUAGAGAUGUCCGGGGAGAUCUAUGUUUAACGGCAAGAGUUCUUCGACAAGAUCUUCCACGAAGAUCAAGAGGAAGUGUUCAAGAAGAUUGGGCACGCGUCGAAGACGAAGAAGAAGCAUAUGAGCAAGAGUGGAACCAUUAGAAGAGAUGGAUCAAAUGAGUUUAGAGCUGAGAGGUUUAAGAAUUAGAACACCAAAUGUGAUUGUUGCUGAAGGUGAUGAACAAGGAGAUCAGGCUGCAAAUGGUUCAAAAUAAUUGUAUGGCAUUCUUUUUCAAUUAUCCUUUGUAGCCUAUAAGUUUGUUGUUGUAAUUGGAAACAUGUAAAUUAGUAGAAAGUGCAUAUAGUAUAACUUUUUUUUUUUUUAAAUUGAUUUCUUUUGUUACUAUCGUCAUUGCAAUUAAGGGAAUCUUAUAAAUUAAUUAAUUAAUGAAGCAGAAGUGCAUAUAAAUAUAUAUUUUUUCCAAUUGAAUUUCUAUUGUUGCUAUUAUAAAAGCAUGCAUUCUUAUAAAUUUUGACACCUUACCUUAUGUGACUUUUCUUAUUGAAUAAAUAGAAAUUUUAAAAGUAAUUAAAAUUCGAAACAUGUAGCCUCAACGCAACCAUUAAUAAUAUUGAAAAAUAAGCCAGUUUAGAGUUUAAUGUGAAUGUGAUGGUUUUGCUUCUUUUUUUUUUUUGGUGUAAUUUUCAAAAUGACUAGAAUUAUAAAGUUGAUAGUGAUCUAUAGUUUCUAUCCCAACAGCUCUCUCUAUCUCUCUUGCAACAACUUGUCACUUGAUUUAAUUUUGACGGUCAAUUAAGCUCUAAUUUCGUCACAGUCAAACUCAUGUGAAAAUUGCAACAAAAAUAUAAAUUCAUAUAGUUUUUGGUUUACUUAAAAGUUCAUGUGAAAAUUACAACUUUUUUCCAAAGUUCGUGUAUUUUUUGGUCAUACCCCUGGUUCUAUUCAAGUUUAAAUGAUCAUUCUAAAUUUAGAUUUAAAUUCAAAUAAACUAAUCAUUUGGAAAAAAAAAUACAUAUUCUAGAAAGUAUGAUUAUUUAUUUUGAUAGUACAUAUAAUGGCCUGGGUCAGGUUUCGUAAAUAUUUAGGCCCAGCUUGGCUCAGGAUAACAUGUAUAGUGGGCCUUGGCUGGGCCCAUGCUAGUAGAUUGCAAUGGGCAUUUCCGUGGGUUCAAUUAGGCUGAGUUUGGUGGGCUUCUUGUUGAUUUUGUAUAGUUUUUUACUUGGUGGGCUUGGAUCUUGUUAGCUAAUGAAUAGUACCGUUGAAUUAGUCUUUCAACAAGUCUACUAGCAUGACCCACUUUGCAAUUUCUUUGUUUCCACACUUCCUUUUAUUAAGUGUGGGUCUAGCGGGUUGAGUGGGUCGCAAAAACGGGUCAACAAAACGAGUGGGAAAGACCCACCCAAUCUCAUAUAAGAUAAUAAGAGACCGGUCCUAUGAAUUCAAUUCUCAUAAAAUUUAUCUUAAUUCAAUCAAAUACAUAUACUUUGAAGAAAUACUAACAAAGUAAAACUCAUCACACGAGUAUUAUUGAUCUUUUUACAGGUAAAAAAUGUAUUAAUUCUAGUAAAUCUAUGCACAUAAUGCCAAAAUCAUGACAAGAAUACCAGGCACUGGUAUCAACAAUACGAUGUCAAAGCAGUCGUAGCGACUUCACUACGGCAGAUCUUGUGAUUUGCUUUCAUGCCUCAACUUGCAAUAAGCCAAAAGUGCAAAAUGGGAAUUUAAAGGAACUGUAAUUCGAGCCAUAACAGUAUGAUGUCGAAGCAGUCGUGAGGACUUCCUAACUACGAUGUUGCCUGAAAAAAUUGAGCAUCUUACUUUCCUGAUGAAGACUGCAACCAUGAGAUCUAGCUCUGGAAUCGGGCGAUGAAUCUUGGAACUUUCAUGCCAAACCCGUGCUUCGCCCUAUCCACACUGUUAAAAAAUCAAUCACGUUGAAUUUAUCAAUCAAUGGAGAGGAACAUAUAUAUAUGCUAUUUGGAAAUGAAAUGGAAUAGAGGAGAAUCACUGAAGCUGAUAUGCAACAUCAAUACAUUUUAAUUGGAGCAAACAUAUGCGAAAAAUGAGCACUUGAUACAAAAUGAGCACUUGAGACUCUUCUAAGAGGGUGUUUGGCUAAGCUUAUUUUAAAGAGCUUAGCUUAUAAGAUGUUUGAAGAGCUUAUAAGAUAUAAUUUUUAAGAGCUUAUAAGUUGUCAAAUUGUUUGGAUAAUUGAGCUUAUAAGCUAGAAAGAGAAUUUUUUGUUAGAGAGAGAAAAUAUUUUUUUAGAAAGGGAAAAUCGAAGAAAAAUGAACUUGAAUGAUAUAUAAUGAAAAUAAUAAAUUAUAGUUGAAAAAUAUUUGUAAAAUGAUCAUUGCAUAUGAGAUUAUAAAAGAAUAAGUUGGGGUAGAUGAACUUAUUUUUGGGAGUCUUAUAAGCUCUUGGAGCUUAUUUUUGGAGCUUAUAAGUUGUUUGAGAGCUUAUUUUGCCAAACACUUUGGAAGAUCUUAUAAGCUCCUAAACAGCUUAUAAGCUUAUAAACACCCUCUAAGUCCUAACUAUGCUUGACGGCUCGACCAAUCAAUCCUUGGGCUAAAUUCUAGCAUUAGAAUUUUGAAUUGGUCUCCACCUUAAUUAAGAGUGUUAAUGGGGUUAGUUGCUAAUCAAACAAAACCAUCUUUCACGAUUUGUAAUUUCCACAUACACGUAUACACGAUAGCGAUUUUCCUUUCUUUUCUUCUAUUUUGCUAUUCAGAUAUUGAUUAGUGAAAUUUUCUCGUUGAUAAGAAUUUUCCGAAACCAUUUUAUACUCAAUCCUAAAUUUAUUAUCUUUGGCUUUUUAAUGCCAGCCACUCAAUGACAAAAGACUAUAUGUUUGCAAAAAUCUUUGCAUUAAUUCUUUCUCAUCAAAGAUCAACAAAUUGCCUACAAGUCUACAUGGUUAAUUUAUUAGAGAUGGCCUACCUAUGGACCUAGACUUUUAUCAACUAUUAAUUCAACAACACUACAUUAAAUAACGUAGGAGACUAAAAAUCAAUGUACAAUAACGAUUAUAUAAAUUAAUAAAAAAGAGUAUAUAUUUUGCAAAAAUUUCGUUGCAUUAAUUUCUUUCUCAUCAAAGAUCAACAAAUUGCCUACAAGUCUACAUGGUUAAUUUAUUAGAGAUGGAACUUUUUAGUCCACGAUUAGUUCUUAAGUACAAAAAUGAGACACCAAUUAUGAACUAAAAUAUUACUCACGAUUUGUCCCUAAAAAUUAUAUGAACCAAAAGAUAUGACACGAGUUUUAAGAAAAAUGGUAGUUUUGUUUAAGUUGCAACCAUUUAGUUUUAAGUACAAAAUGUAGUACACCAAUUAUGAACUAAAUUAUGAUACAUAUAUUAAUAUUGUACACGAAUUAAUGAUUAUUAGUCUUCCAUGUCAACCAUUUAGUCUUUCCUUACUCUAAAAAAAAUAGUCUUCCUCUCACCACAUCCACAAGCAUAUCAAUGGCAAUUUCUUCUAUUCCCACUUUUUUGUGUCUUUCUUUAUAUUUAUGUAUUACUAGCUACAAAAAUUCGUUACGAGAUUGGCCUACUUUUGGAAUACUAGCAGAGAUAACGUGCUAUUAAUUAAUAGAUACUUUAUAAGUGCAAUAGUGUUUCUAGUGGCUUAUUUAAAGCCACUUGCACAAGUUUGUAGAAAACACAAAUCACAAUACUAUCAAUUAAUAGCCUCUUCAUCACAAUGCUUCCAAAGUUGUUCUUCGUCAUUUCUACACUAAUUUCCUCCUUCAUUUUCACUACUCAUUCUUAUAAUACCCAAUGCCUUCACCAUCAGAAAAUCUUGUUGCUUCAACUCAAGGAUGAUUGAUUCAAUUCCUCUCUUUCAACAAAAUUGGUGCGAUGGAAUGAAAGGGAUGAGUGCUGCAAGUGGCACGGUGUGGAAUGUGCUGUUGCUGGCUACGUCGUCAGUUUGCAGCUCGAUAAUGAGUCAAUUUCUGGUGGAAUCGCGGAUUCAUCGAGUCUCUUCAAACUUGUGCAUCUGCAGAAGCUAAAUCUAGCCGACAAUUAUUUCACUAUGACACUCCCAUCCCGAAAGGUAUUCACAAUCUCACCUAUUUGACACACUUGAAUUUAUCCUAUGCUGGAUUUGGUGGGCAGGUUCCCGCUGAAAUUUCUUCCUUGAGGAGGUUGGUUAGUCUCGAUAUCUCCUAUAAUGAUAUAUCUGUGAAACUGGAGAUGCUUGUCCAAAAUCUAACAGGGCUUCGAGAGCUCUAUCUUGAUCGUGUCAUGUUACUUCUCCUCAUGAGAGGAGAAAAUGGAGCCACAUUAUAUCAUCAUAUUUACCCAACCUCACCGCCUUGAGCUUGGUUGAAUGUGGUUUAUCUGGCCCUUUAGCUGAGUCCUUUUGGCAACUCCAUUCCCUUUCCAUCCUUCGACUGGGUUAUAACAAUCUUUCAACAAAAGUUCUGGACUCGUUCGCCAAUUUUCCAAUUUUGACCACUUUGUCUCUUUAUAGCUGCAGUUUGAAGGGUUCGAUUCCAUCCACCUUUGCUAACCUAACCAACCUGAUUCAUCUUGAUUUGUCAGAUAACUUCUUCACAGGCUCACUUUCUUCUAUGCUGUUUGAAGGUCUUUCCAAUCUUGUUUAUUUAGAUUUGUCAUAUAAUUCAUUCUCUGGCCACAUUCCCCACUCUCUCUUUGCUCUCCCUUCAUUGUUGGAACUUGAUCUUAGGUACAAUCAAUUUAGUGGCACUUUCCAACUGGACAACUUUCGAAAUCUUGCCAAUCUAACCCGACUUGAUCUAUCUCACAAUAGAUUGUCAGUAGAUGUUGGCAACCUCAAUUCAACUUCAUAUGGAAGUCUCCAACUAAAAGAGUUAAGACUAGCUUCAUGUAAUUUGUCCCAUUUUCCUAAUUUCAUCAAACAUUUGGAUAUGGAAAUAGUGGACCUCUCAAACAAUCGGAUUGGUGGGGAGAUACCUAGUUGGAUUUGGGGAACACAACUUCAGUCUUUGUUCCUCUCUUUUAAUCUUCUAACAGAUCUGCAAAAGCCUUACCAUAUCCCUACUUCUCUUGAAGAGCUAUACUUGGACUCUAACCAGCUCAAGGGUGAGUUGCACCUGCCCAUUCCAUCUGCGUCUCAACUCUGGUACUUGUCUCUUGCUAAUAACAGUUUAAGUGGAUCGAUUUCAACCUCCCUUUGCAGUGCCACGAGCCUCCUUGUUCUUGAUUUGUCUGGCAAUAGAUUAAGUGGCAGCAUACCCCCUUGCUUACUUGAAAACAUUUCAGAGUUAGAUCUAAGCCAAAACAACAUCAGCGGUAGCAUUCCAG
rnacentral:lncRNA from 1 species